AGUUUGAUCCUGGCUCAGAUUGAACGCUGGCGGCAUGCUUUACACAUGCAAGUCGAACGGCAGCGCGGGGCAACCUGGCGGCGAGUGGCGAACGGGUGAGUAACAUAUCGGAACGUACCCAAGAGUGGGGGAUAACGUAGCGAAAGUUACGCUAAUACCGCAUACGAUCUAAGGAUGAAAGCAGGGGAUCUUCGGACCUUGUGCUCCUGGAGCGGCCGAUAUCUGAUUAGCUAGUUGGUGAGGUAAAGGCUCACCAAGGCUACGAUCAGUAGCUGGUCUGAGAGGACGACCAGCCACACUGGAACUGAGACACGGUCCAGACUCCUACGGGAGGCAGCAGUGGGGAAUUUUGGACAAUGGGCGAAAGCCUGAUCCAGCAAUGCCGCGUGAGUGAAGAAGGCCUUCGGGUUGUAAAGCUCUUUUGUCAGGGAAGAAACGGUUUGGGCUAAUACCCUGAGCUAAUGACGGUACCUGAAGAAUAAGCACCGGCUAACUACGUG
rnacentral:rRNA from 1 species